UCCAGUUGAUCCUGCUGGCGGCUGCGGCUCUCUGGUUUGCACUUAGACAUGCAAGUUUUAUGCUUAGAAAUAGGUGUAAGCGAACUGCUCAGUAACACGUAACUAAUCUACCCUUAAGUCAGGGAUAACCUCGGGAAACUGAGGCUAAAACCUGAUAGGAGAUUUACCCUGGAAUGAUUUAUCUCUUAAACUCGUGCUUAAGGAUGAGGUUGCGGCAGAUUAGGUCGUUGGCGGGGUAAUGGCCCACCAAGCCGGUGAUCUGUAAGGGCUCUUAGCGGAGAGGCCCUGAGAGGGAAUCUGAGACACUAUUCCCAGCCCUACGGGGUGCAGCAGUUAGGAAUAUUUUGCAAUGCGCGCAAGCGUGACAAAUCGAGCCAGAGUGUUUUCCUUUUUGGAAAACUUUUAUGCACUGUAAAAAGGUGCAGGAAUAAGGACUGGGUAAGACUAGUGCCAGCCGCCGCGGUAAUACUAGCGGUCCAAGUCGCAGCCAUUUUUAUUGGGUCUAAAACAUCCGUAGCUUGCUUUUUAAGUUUCUUGUGAAAUUUGGUAUCUUAAGUACACAAGCGUGCAAGAAGUACUGGAAAGCUAGAGACUGGAAGACGUGAGAAGUACGAAUAAAGUAGCGGUAAAAUGUUUUGAUCUUAUUCGGACUCCCAAUAGCGAAGGCAUCUCACGAGGACAGUUCUGACAGUAAGGGAUGAAGGCUAGGGGCGCAAAACGGAUUAGAUACCCGUGUAGUCCUAGCAGUAAACACUGCACACUAAACAUUAGUACCUCCUCGAGAGGUAUUAGUGCUGUAGGGAAGCCGAAGAGUGUGCUACCUGGGAAGUAUGGUCGCAAGGCUGAAACUUAAAGGAAUUGGCGGGGAGACACUACAACGGGUGACGCGUGCGGUUCAAUUAGAUUAUACACCGUGAACCUUACCAGGACCGACAGCAGGAUGAAGGUCAGUCUAAAGGGCUUACCUGACACGCUGAGAGGAGUUGCAUGGCCGACGUCAGCCUGUGCUGUGAAGUGACCAGUUAAAUCUGGUAACAGGCAAGACCCACGUGCAUAUUUGCUAAUGAACUAUAUGCAGAUUGCCUUGGUAACAAGGAUGAAAGUGUGGGCUACGUUAGGUGGGUACAGCCCGACAGCCCUGGGCGACACGCGCGCGUCAAUGGUGGAUACAAUGGGAUGCGACUCAGAAAUGAGAAGCCAAUCUCUUAAAGUUCAUCUCAGUCCAGAUUGAGGAUUGUAACUCAUCCUCAUGACGCUGGAAUCCGUAGUAAUCGGAUGUU
rnacentral:rRNA from 1 species